rnacentral:ncRNA from 2 species
UAUAAUACUCAAGCUAUCGGUUUUAGUGGGGAACAGUCACUAAAGGUAACAGGGAAAGCUUGGUGUAAGUCCAACACUGUCCCGCAACUGUGAUGAAGCUUAAAUGAUUAGUUUCUAAGUCAGAAUGCCUGCCGAUAACGAGACUAUUCU